rnacentral:rRNA from 1 species
CCUACGGGAGGCAGCAGUAAGGAAUCUUCCACAAUGGACGAAAGUCUGAUGGAGCAACGCCGCGUGCAGGAUGAAGGCUUUCGGGUCGUAAACUGCUUUUAUAUGGGAAGAUUAUGACGGUACCAUAUGAAUAAGGACCGGCUAACUACGUGCCAGCAGCCGCGGUAAUACGUAGGGUCCAAGCGAUAUCCGGAAUUACUGGGCGUAAAGCGUGUGUAGGUGGAUUAAUAAGUGUGAUGCGAAAUCCGGCGGCUCAACCGUUUGGACUGUGUCGCAUACUGUUAGUCUAGAGGACGGCAGAGGUAAGUGGAAUUACGGGUGUAGCAGUGAAAUGCGUAGAUAUCCGUAGGAACACCAAUGGCGAAGGCAGCUUACUGGGCCACACCUGACACUGAGACACGAAAGCGUGGGGAGCGAACAGGAUUAGAUACCCUGGUAGUCCACGCCGUAAACGAUGCAUACUAUUAGUAUGGGGUAUCGACCCCCUGUGCUGAGAAGCUAACGCGAUAAGUAUGCCGCCGUGGAGGUACGAGCGCAGACUAACUACAAGAAGUAGACGCGNGAGAGUGCGACGACGACGACGAGGGAGAGG